CUUUAAUCACAUAUUCCUAAAUAAUGGCUUCACUUAGAAUGAUCCGGUGUUCGUUAAUCCUUUUCUCACGAGGCUCAUUUUAAGAUUUUCGGUUCUGAAUUUUCAUUUACGAAAACAUCAUUUUUAAAAGUCCUACUUUAAACGGCUUUUAGUAGUUAAAUUGCCACAGGAACGUCUUCAAACAGUAACUUAUCUCUUAACUAAAAAACAAACGACUGGUAAAUAAUUAGUUUCGCCAGUCUUCUCUUGCAUGUGCCCGGGCUUUACGAUGGAAACGCUCGCGCUGGACCGUUCAAUCCACCAGCAAAUGUCUAAAAAACGAUAUUCGAAACAUCUUCAAUGCAUCGAUGCGCAUAGAGACAUGCUUCCCUGUUUUUCUGCUCGUUGCAGUCGCAGUGUCCCCGUGUGCCAUGUGAGUUGUCCCGCAAUUAGGACAGCGCUGAGCGCUGCACGCACAGGAGCGUGAUGGGGUGUGUCGUCACCGAAUGUACUGCUGCGGAUGCGCGCGGUCACCAGGCUGGUCCACGUGUGGGGGGAUGUUACGACUAAGUGGAACAGUAAAGUGGGAACACCGGCGCUCUGUUUUCUUGGAAAAUGACCCAACGGUAGCUGCACGGAUCUUAGGCUGCCUGGCAGAAAUCUUGGCAUGGAUAAAUCACCUACAGCUCAACCUCGCACAGACAGAUCUUUUCAUCUUCCAUGACACUCUGUUUAUAAAGCAUAAUUUCACCAGCCAGCUAGGUUCAUCAACAAUAAUCCCAUCAAGUGCAAUAAUUUUUGGGGUAAUCUUUGAUCCCUAGUUCACCUUAAAAUACCACAUUGCAGGACAACACAGUCAUGGUUUGCACUGCACCGAGAGGCACAAAAUCACUUUCCAGAACAUUUUAGUUCACUCACUGUAAAAAAAAAAAAAAAAAAAAAAAAUCAU